ACACACACUUUGAGUGAGUACAAGUACUUUGAAUAAACUUAAACUUUCUAUAUUACGUACAUCAUUGUAUUAAUUCAUUUAUCCACCUAUGGAUCUGCAAAUGGGAUUUGAGGAGAACUCAUACGCCGAAAGAAUUUGCAGACCUCAUCGUGAAUUUCCUCCUCUACCCAUGUUAGCUCGCUCGUUAGGUAAAAUUCCAUGCUGGACAUGGCUCAUGCCAGACUCCUUUCUGAGCAAUGGGAAAAGUGUUCGUAUAGCCGCUUCCGGUUGACUACAAGAUUUCUUGUGUGUGCACCAAAAUUCAAUUUGGUAUCAAGAGUGAUCCCUAGAUACCUCACAGUUCUUAACCACUUAACCGACUUCCCCUUGAGUAAUAUAUUGUGGGAGAGCAGGGGCCUACGCUUAGUGAAUAGCAUACAACUGGUUUUGGAAGAGUCAAUUUUCAUUUCCAUCUAGUGCAGAACCAUCUUACUCUUUCCAGCUUUUUCACGUCUUCACGAUUUUCAAGUCUAUUUGGAAUAUUGAAAACCAAUUACAAAACAUUCCAUCAUCACUUUCUGCACAUCCCACUGUCAUGGUUCAUCAGAUCAACUCCACUACAAUCUUAGAUAACCCCUCCUUCGUCCGUAACUUCGAUUGACGAAAAAAUUGAAAACUGUGAUAAAAAGUGUAGUUUUUUAUUAUAAUUUUUUUUUGUACAACAUGAGAUUACACAUUAGGUUAGC